GAUGAACGCUGGCGGCGUGCCUAAUACAUGCAAGUCGAGCGAACAGAUGAGGAGCUUGCUCCUCUGACGUUAGCGGCGGACGGGUGAGUAACACGUGGAUAACCUACCUAUAAGACUGGGAUAACUUCGGGAAACCGGAGCUAAUACCGGAUAAUAUAUUGAACCGCAUGGUUCAAUAGUGAAAGACGGUUUUGCUGUCACUUAUAGAUGGAUCCGCGCCGCAUUAGCUAGUUGGUAAGGUAACGGCUUACCAAGGCAACGAUGCGUAGCCGACCUGAGAGGGUGUUCGGCCACACUGGACCUGGGACACGGUCCAGACUCCUACGGGAGGCAGCAGUAGGGAAUCUUCCGCAAUGGGCGAAAGCUUGACGGAGCAACGCCGCGUGAGUGAGGAAGGUCUUCGGAUCGUAAAACUCUGUUAUUAGGGAAGACCAAAUGUGUAAGUAACUAUGCACGUCGUGACGGUACCUAAUCAGAAAGCCACGGCUAACUACGUG
rnacentral:rRNA from 1 species